GGGGAAUAUUGCGCAAUAGGGGCAACCCUGACGCAGCCAUGCCGCGUGAAUGAAGAAGGCCUUCGGGUUGUAAAGUUCUUUCGGUAGCGAGGAAGGCAUUUAGUUUAAUAGACUAGGUGAUUGACGUUAACUACAGAAGAAGCACCGGCUAACUCCGUGCCAGCAGCCGCGGUAAUACGGAGGGUGCGAGCGUUAAUCGGAAUAACUGGGCGUAAAGGGCACGCAGGCGGUGACUUAAGUGAGGUGUGAAAGCCCCGGGCUUAACCUGGGAAUUGCAUUUCAUACUGGGUCGCUAGAGUACUUUAGGGAGGGGUAGAAUUCCACGUGUAGCGGUGAAAUGCGUAGAGAUGUGGAGGAAUACCGAAGGCGAAGGCAGCCCCUUGGGAAUGUACUGACGCUCAUGUGCGAAAGCGUGGGGAGCAAACAGGAUUAGAUACCCUGGUAGUCCACGCUGUAAACGAUGUCGAUUUGGGGGUUGAACUUUAAGUUUGGCGCCCGUAGCUAACGUGAUAAAUCGACCGCCUGGGGAGUACGGCCGCAAGGUUA
rnacentral:rRNA from 1 species